rnacentral:rRNA from 1 species
GAUGAACGCUGGCGGCGUGCCUAAUACAUGCAAGUCGAGCGAACAGACGAGGAGCUUGCUCCUCUGACGUUAGCGGCGGACGGGUGAGUAACACGUGGAUAACCUACCUAUAAGACUGGGAUAACUUCGGGAAACCGGAGCUAAUACCGGAUAAUAUAUUGAACCGCAUGGUUCAAUAGUGAAAGACGGUUUUGCUGUCACUUAUAGAUGGAUCCGCGCCGCAUUAGCUAGUUGGUAAGGUAACGGCUUACCAAGGCGACGAUGCGUAGCCGACCUGAGAGGGUGCUCGGCCACACUGGAACUUAGACACGGUCCAGACUCCUACGGGAGGCCGCAGUAGGGAAUCUUCCGCAAUGGGCGAAAGCCUAACGGAGCAACGCCGCGUGAGUGAUGAAGGUCUUCGGAUCGUAAAACUCUGUUAUUAGGGAAGAACAAAUGUGUAAGUAACUAUGCACGUCUUGACGGUACCUAAUCAGAAAGCCACGGCUAACUACGUG